UGAACGCAUGGCGCAGCUGGUAGCGCCUCCCGUUUUGAAAUUUCAGUCGCGGGUUCGAUCCCCACUGGCUCAA